rnacentral:rRNA from 1 species
UACAGAGGGUGCAAGCGUUGUUCGGAAUUAUUGGGCGUAAAGCGCGUGUAGGCGGCUUUGCAAGUCGGGUGUGAAAGCCCUCAGCUUAACUGAGGAAGUGCGCCCGAAACUGCUUGGCUUGAGUACCGGAGAGGAUGGCGGAAUUCCCCAAGUAGAGGUGAAAUUCGUAGAUAUGGGGAAGGAACACCGGUGGCGAAGGCGGCCAUCUGGACGGAUACUGACGCUGAGACGCGAAAGCGUGGGUAGCAAACAGG